CACUUCAAUCAAAACAUUCAAAACAUUUAGGUAGGCGCUGCAUAAAUGUGUAAUUUCCUUUCUAUUCUUCAGUGUUUUGCAUGAAUUUAAAAAGUGUGCAGAUCUCUUUUGAUUGUUCAUUUGUCAUUCAUUCAGCAGCCAUUGUCUUGCGUCGCCAGUAUCUGAAGCCUCAAGCUGAGGAAAAGAGAUGAAGCCAGUCUCCCUGACCCUGCAGAUGAUUUCAGCCUUGGGCUUGUGGUUAUGAAGAAAUGAGUCAGACAGUAACCAUUACAGAAGAAUCACAACUAAUUAAAAUGAAGAGUUGUGGAGCCCAGUCCCAGUGAAUAGUCUACAAAUCACUCCUAAGGCUCAGGGAACACUGAAGAAGCUGGGACAGGGGAGGAGAGCAGAAACAUGGAAACAUCCAGGGGAUGGAGUUUGCUGUGUGAUUAUGUCUCCUAUAUUAGAAAUUUCAUCUAUAAAGUCUCAACAACAUUACUGCUUAAAGGAUGGGGCUUAGAGAUCUUGAUUGAGGAAUUACAGAAGAUCAAGUUUCCUGGCAUGGAGUUGUGGUGACUGGAAGAGGAUGAACAAGGAGUGAUGCUGGGAAUGAAGCUUCCAAAGAAGUUUCAGAUAGAAAUCAAGACUGCUUUGAUGCACCUACGUAAUUUGAAUAACUUCUCCUCUUCUUUUCUUCAUCUUGAAUACAAGG